UCGAUUCCGGCUCGAAGGACUUC
rnacentral:piRNA from 1 species